GAUGAACGCUGGCGGCGUGCCUAAUACAUGCAAGUCGAACGCUGAAGGAAGGAGCUUGCUCUUUCCGGAUGAGUUGCGAACGGGUGAGUAACGCGUAGGUAACCUGCCUGGUAGCGGGGGAUAACUAUUGGAAACGAUAGCUAAUACCGCAUAACAGUAGAUGUUGCAUGAUAUCUACUUAAAAGGUGCAACUGCACCACUACCAGAUGGACCUGCGUUGUAUUAGCUAGUUGGUGAGGUAACGGCUCACCAAGGCGACGAUACAUAGCCGACCUGAGAGGGUGAUCGGCCACACUGGGACUGAGACACGGCCCAGACUCCUACGGGAGGCAGCAGUAGGGAAUCUUCGGCAAUGGACGGAAGUCUGACCGAGCAACGCCGCGUGAGUGAAGAAGGGUUUCGGAUCGUAAAGCUCUGUUGUAAGAGAAGAACGAGUGUGAGAGUGGAAAGUUCACACUGUGACGGUAUCUUACCAGAAAGGGACGGCUAACUACGUG
rnacentral:rRNA from 1 species